UCUUAUUUUCUUUAAUACCUUUUCCUAUAAUAUAUAUUUACAGAAAAAGCAGAAACAUACAACACGUCAUAAAUAGCUGCAGAAAUAGCAAACCAGGCGGUGUCCACCGGACAGCGUCCUCCUAUUACCGUGACUUGCCGAAUCACACAUUUGAAAGUAACCUAAACCCUAAAAUCUUUACUUUCUCAAUUCACACUAUCUAAUCCCUAAAUUCCUCUGUGAAAUUUGUUACCCUUUGAGUCCUGAGUCCUUAAUUUUUCAUUAACCACUUCAAUUCGUUUACUGCUUGUUUUCUUUUUUUGGCGUGUAAUUAUUGAAGAUGGACAUCGAACAAAAACAAGCAGAGCUAAUCGAUCACUUCGUUAAAAUAGCAUAAGCUCUUAAAGGCUCAGCUCUUGGGCCCGUUAUCGUUGAAGCCACUUCUCACCCUUCACUCUUCGCCUUCUCCGAGAUUCUCGCCGUACCUACUGUUGCUGAGCUUGAAGGAGUUGACAAUUCCGUGUACCUUGAUGUGCUCCGGUUGCUCGCACAUGGCACAUGGACCGACUACAAGAGUAAGCUUACUCUCUAUUCUUUUUCUUUGUGUUGCAUCUCUCUGUAGUAGUUAGUUAUGACAUCGACACCUGAAGCUUAAUUUUGAUGAAAACUUAUGUCAGAUGCGCUUUAUUUAUAUUCUUGUGAAUUAAUUGUUGAGAUGCUGUGUUCUUAAAGGGAUCCGAGAUUUUUGGGCUGGCAGACUUUUGCUAGAUUAGUUAGUACAAUGUAUGGAAUAUAAGCAAAGGUAUUUCCAAAGUUAAUGCAGGCGGUGGAUGAGCUCUUCAAUCUUUAAUUGUCCCUGAAUUUGAUUCUCGUCACCGACACUUAGAGGAUGAUAUUUCGGGUACUGGGGGACGAAGAUUGCCUGAAGUUACUCAAGAAAUACAAAGACGCCAUGACAAGUAACAAUGAGGAGAGGUCCGAAAGGUGAUAAUCAUAGACACAGUGAUGGAAAAUAAAGAUUGGAUUAAGCAAUCAACUGAGACCAUACAGCUCUAUGAUCUUGAAAUGAUGGUCCUUGUCUUCAGUUAGGAGAGGACCCAGAAAGAGUGGGCUAAGCUCUUCUUUUGAUGUCCCUGUUCUAGGCUUAAGGUCAAUCAUUGAGGUUUAUCCUUAAGAAUAUCAAAAUCUCUAUGUACCUAUUUUUAUUCCUAAACAAUAAUUGAUGUAAUGAAUAAUUAAAUACCUAUAAAAAUAUAAAUAAAAGCAAUUAUAAUUUAUUUAA